GUGGAUUAGUGGCGAACGGGUGAGUAACACGUGGGCAAACUGGCCCUUCACUCUGGGACAAGCCCUGGAAACGGGGUCUAAUACCGGAUACCACUCCUGCCUGCAUGGGCGGGGGUUGAAAGCUCCGGCGGUGAAGGAUGAGCCCGCGGCCUAUCAGCUUGUUGGUGGGGUAAUGGCCCACCAAGGCGACGACGGGUAGCCGGCCUGAGAGGGCGACCGGCCACACUGGGACUGAGACACGGCCCAGACUCCUACGGGAGGCAGCAGUGGGGAAUAUUGCACAAUGGGCGAAAGCCUGAUGCAGCGACGCCGCGUGAGGGAUGACGGCCUUCGGGUUGUAAACCUCUUUCAGCAGGGAAGAAGCGAAAGUGACGGUACCUGCAGAAGAAGCGCCGGCUAACUACGUGCCAGCAGCCGCGGUAAUACGUAGGGCGCAAGCGUUGUCCGGAAUUAUUGGGCGUAAAGAGCUCGUAGGCGGCUUGUCACGUCGGAUGUGAAAGCCCGAGGCUUAACCUCGGGUCUGCAUUCGAUACGGGCUAGCUAGAGUGUGGUAGGGGAGAUCGAUAUCCUGGUGUAGCGGUGAAAUGCGCAGAUAUCAGGAGGAACACCGGUGGCGAAGGCGGAUCUCUGGGCCAUUACUGACGCUGAGGAGCGAAAGCGUGGGGAGCGAACAGGAUUAGAUACCCUGGUAGUCCACGCCGUAAACGUUGGGAACUAGGUGUUGGCGACAUUCCACGUCGUCGGUGCCGCAGCUAACGCAUUAAGUUCCCCGCCUGGGGAGUACGGCCGCAAGGCUAAAACUCAAAGGAAUUGACGGGGGSCCGCACAAGCGGCGGAGCAUGUGGCUUAAUUCGACGCAMCGCGAAGAACCUUACCAAGGCUUGACAUAUACCGGAAAGCAUUAGAGAUAGUGCCCCCCUUGUGUGG
rnacentral:rRNA from 1 species